rnacentral:lncRNA from 1 species
UUCCAGAAGUGCUUGUCCUUGUGCGUGCGAGUGUUGUUGACAGUUCCGUUUAUAGGAUAUGGCUGGCAAGCUUCUUCCAAAAUAUGGAAAUUGUCAGUACAUCAGUCAAUAAUUCAUGAAACAAGUAACUACGCUAAGCAAGAUAAGAGUGUUGCAGUUCGAGAAUCAUAUGAAGAAGCAGAGCGGUUAAGGGAAUAAUAUCUUACAGGCAAGGAAGCCAUAGCUAUAAGUGACAGAGUGGAGUCUCAUAUGGAUGUUGGUAAAGAAUAGGCUAAAGCAGGAUCAUCGGCAAGAACAGAAUCUUCAGCAAGAUCAUACGAUGGAUCAGGAUCAUUACCAAUUAAAGGCAAGGAAGCAAGGUUUAGAGUACCAUAAGCCGAAGAUGUCGCAGAAGCUAGAUUGUAAGCAGGUAAAGAAUCCGGGGGUCAAUUCCGUUUCUGAAAGAAUCCGGGGGUCAAUUCCGUUUCUGCCUCUCCGGCUUCUGGAUGUAAUGUAUAGGUUCGGGCAAUAACAAGUGAGAAAGAGAAGUUGACAGGCAAGCAAUACGGUUUCGUCAAACUCUGAUCCAACGAAUAACUACUAAUUUAUGUAGGUGAAGAGCAUGUACUGGGUUUAAGGAGCACUGGGUUAGGUGAGUUAGGAGCAACCAACGAGCCAAGUCACUUACUUUCAUUCUCACUUCCUACCAGAGGUUAUUGUGUUGUCUAGGUUAUUGGCGCUUUACCUUGCUUGUCGACUUGCUUUGCUUGCUCGGUACUAGUUUUGUUGCAUAGAGAGGUUAUUUGCCAAAGUAUACUCUAGAAUCAGAAGUCAAGUAAUAUAAGCUGUAAACAAAGCUGUAACCGAGGAGUUCUCUAUAUGGAACCUUGGAUCUUUCUGAGGUGGCACCUGGUUUUCGCUCUUCACAACGAAUGUCUUGGCACCUAUCCAAGAGAUUGGAAGCCUUACUUUACUUGAUUUCAAUCUAAAACCUUAGUCUCUUGCUUUCCAUUAGCAAAUAGGGAAUUCCACCAAUAAGUAAAAGAAUGCAUCUACUACUGACAAGGAUCGGGAUCGGGCUCAAACCAAGGAACCCAACGAAAGGCAAACUGUACUGUAAAACUGGAUUUCGCUACUAGCUUUGAUUCUGAUACCACGGCAUUCGGAUCUUGCUCCUAGGUUCACUUGACUUUUUCUCAUUCCUGUUUCAACCCUCGCUUUCAUGCUUUAACAGCUUAUUUCCUCAACUCAAGGUACGAUCCAUAUAGAUAUAAGAAUUAGUACCAAGAUACGAUAUAGCACAUACAGGAAUAGGCUUACAAACUGAUAUCAGAAUUGAGCUCAUUAAACCAAGCCCCACUCGCCAGGUAGUUAAU